AGUCAGCACUGAGACUGCCUGGGAAGCUUUCUGCUUGGCCUCCCAUCCGCAGCCCUCAAACCCGGAACGUGCAUCUGUGCUGCAGAGCAGCUCUCUGUCAGCCUUCCUUCUAGAAAGUGACACUUGGUGAGAAGAUGCAUUGUGCUGCCAGGGCUCUGCACAGCCUCAGGCAAGUGCAAAUAAUGAAAGGAAAGGAAAUCCUGUCCUCUGUUACAAAGCCUCACUCUGGGGCUCUCCAUCCAUCUCUGAAGGGCAGCGGAAAAUGACACUUUUAUUAGCUUAGGCCAAUCUCCAUUUAAUGCUGUCCACUCAGGGGAAGAUGACAAGGAGGGAACUAGGGCUGUCGUGAUCAAGGUCAAAGAAACCACACAGUACAACUCAUACUGUUCUCUGUGUCCAUUCUUCAAUCAGAGGAGCUUCAUUAUGUGUAUUUUUCCCUUUUCCAUUCUGGCUUUUGCUGUUUAUUUCCCUCCUGUUAUUCAGUAACCUCAUUAAUUUUCAGGAGUUGUGGUUUUCCUGCAGACAUUUCCACCACUGCUUUUAAAAUCUCACUGGUUGCCUUAAUUGACCUUUCAGCUUCACUUUGUAGUGUAUGUCUGCUAUGAUACACUUAUGGGUUUUUUUCUCUCUCUCUCCCUUUGGUAAAUUUCACUCUGAACUACACAAAGCAACACGACUCGGGUCACCAUCUGACAGUCUCCAUUGUGCUGGCAUAAGACUCUUAGUUUAUUACCAAUAGACACUAUCGUGAAUGGUACCCUGCUGGUCUGUGGGCCUGUAUAUGUAGGACUUCAGCAUUCAGUAAGUUUGCUUCAAAUGCUCUGAAGAGCAUUCAAGGGUCACACUUUUGGAUCAGAACGUUUCCAUUCCAGAAUUCAGUUACUUAAGCAGUGGUAAUGCAUUUUUUUUUCCUCCAGUGAUGUUAAAGCAAAGCUCAAGAGAUGGCCCAGUUUGAAGUCUAGGGAUAAAACAAAGCUUCCAGUUUUCUCCUGAUGCUGCUAGGGGCUAAUAUUGCUUCAUUGGCAUGGCUCAGCAAGGUAAAACAGCUUUGCAUGGAAAUUGUCUGAGCUGUUCUUGAUCCAUGCAAACCACCUUCUGCUUUAGUGCUGGCUGUGAGAGUUGCCUAUGAGGGUGGUUUGAUCUGGGGACCAAAGGCAGGAAGAGGAAAGUGAUUGGGGUGGUGCUGCAGGUUCUAGAAACACCUGGAGAACACUGAUAGUGGCUCCUUUAAAAAAGCAUACCCACCUCCUUCCAGCAGACUAAAAAUACACCUCCAGGUGUCCCAUUUACAGAUUGGUCUGUUGGGGAAGAACGUGUGUGUGUGUGUAUAUAUAUUAAUCUGGUUUUGCUAUUUGGUAAUGAGAGGAGCCUGCUUUGUGGUUCAUCACCCACUGUAUGGAAAAACAGAAAAACAAAAACUUAAUGUUAGAGUUCAGAUCAUAUUGAUCUUUCCUUUUUUUUGUUGUUGUUGUUUUCUUUUGCUUUUGAACUAUGACUUGAAUCAGUUUUGAUUCUAUUUGUACGUGUUUUUCUUGUUCUUAGAAAGCUGCCGUUUUCUUUUGCGUUUUUCUUUGGCAUUAUAUAGAAAAUCUGAGCCUUGGUUUUCAACCCUCUGCAGGUGGUCGUAGGGUUAAGAUGGCUUUUUGUUUUGUUCUUACAUUUCACUUGUCUUGUUGCAUGACGGUUCAUAGCUGAUUUGGAAAUGACAUUUCUCUCCUAGGUUAAUUUUGUGUUUGUAUGAUGUGCAUAUUGCUUUGCAGAAUAAAAACGAUGAAGUUUACUCUGCUGUCUUUAUUUCUCCUCUCCAGUUGCUAUGGAGGUUUCAUAAACCAUUUACAUUACAGAGACCCUUGGAAGGGGAAUUGGUAGUGAAGUUUGUGAUAGGUUGGAAUUCCAAACGUUGCUGUACUUACAUGGCAUGCAGAAUUGAUGUGGAGUUUUUUAUGUAUUGUGGGGCAGGGAAUGUAAUGCUGUAUGGCUGCUAUAAUGGAGAAUUUACGACCUGCUUAUCUCUCCUGUUGCUUUCUUUGAGCUCUGGUUGUCAUUUGGUCCCUCUUACCAGUCGCAGGUACAUAAAGCUUGCUUUAUUGCUACAGUGCAGGUCUCUGUGCUGAAUACAUAGGUGGAGUGAACGAUGCCUGUCCUUCAUGUCAUCAGUUUUCUUCAGGUUUAGCAGCAAAAUGCUCAGCAGGUUGGUUUCUCACUGCAGUGAGGUCCUCUGAAAGGAACCUAAGACAGAAAUGAACAGUUGUUUGCUCUGCUCUCAGCUUCCUGCUGGCCUUGGUGGUUAUCAGGCCCUCCUUCCCAGCCUCCUUGCUGCAGGUGCUGUUACCCAGCUGAACCCAAACCAGUUCCAGAGCAUUCCUCAGUGCCUGCAGGUGGUUUGGGAUCGUUAAAGGGCAUCUGUGGAUGGCUGUUGAAAUCGAGACAAUAGAACUCGUUAAAUUCCAGCUCCAGUUACUGUGCAGCUGGAAUGAGCUGCACCUGUGUGCUUGCAGUGCUACAGAGCAGGAAAGACGUACUUGGGGUUGUCCUGCAAAGCUUGUUACAAGCUGGGCACCCCGUGUUUGGCAGACACAAGGCAGCCUGUCUUGCCUCUCUGGAGGAUGUGGUUCGAAGCCCUCACGCAGUGUUCUGACUCUGGGUGUUUCCAGAUGGGGCCUAUUCAAAUCCUGUGACAAAUGGGAGCAUUGUUUAAAAGCAAAGCUGUAAAGUUGUUGUAGAGUUUUUGCUGGGGAGGGAAACUCUGAGAAUCAAUAAGUGGGGGGGAGGGAAGUGAAUUUAAGAGAACAGCUGUGCCAAAUCCCUUUGGUCUGGCUCUAGGAAGUCUGGCUAGUUCUGAAAUGCCUGCCCAGUGUUAGCAUUAAUGCUCUGUUAGCAUGCUCUCUGAGUUCGUCCAUCACUGAGUUAGCAAAGCGACCUUCUUGGCCUCUGCUGCACUCAGCCUGUCAGCAGUGAGGAAAGGAGACACCAGGACAUGUCUGUGCUUGUUUCCAGUUCAACACACCCUCCUUCAUAACUCACACAGCCUCCGUUUGGGAAAUGCACGUUUAUGUUCAGCAAGCUCUGUAGAUAUGUAACUUCCUUGAAGAGAAUCCUGUUUCUAGAACUAUUACUGCAUAGCAUUACGCGUGAGUAAACUUGCAAGGAGGAUCAGUGGUGAAUUCCCAUUGGGGAGAACAAUAAAUGGAGACAGCCAAGGUCGGGCUGACCGGGCUGUGAGCACUGAUGGAGCUGUGGGUGUCCCCGUGCAUUGCAGGCAGUGGGACCAGAUGGCCUUUGGGGGUCCCUUCCAACUCCAACCCUUCUAUGAUUUAAUCCUUUGUCUUUUUUAGAGCAGAGGCCGUCAGGGAUACCUGGCAAACCCCUUACAAAGGGAAAGUCUUGCUGUCAUAUAGUGCCAACACAUUAAGCUGAGUUCUUUCAGGGCCCCCUCCUGGCUCCUCUUGGCACCAGCAGCCCGAGGGAUGUUUUAUGCAGGCAGUGCAAUGGGAGAAAACCCGGCUGCUGGGCUGAUGUGCACCAGGACAUUUCCCAGAGCUGGAAGAUUGGGCUCAGGAGUACCAUCUUAUGGCACGGAUGGCAUUUCUUUAUUCAGAUUUCUGUCACUGCCUUUUUGAGAGAGAGUUUCAAGGAAACCCUGAGCUCAGGAGUUAAGGCGAAUAAGCACGCUGGCAGCUGCUGAAACGUAGGUUGUGAGUUUCUCUCUGCCAUUCAGCCUUAAUCAAAAUGCUGCUUGUGAAGGACUGCCCGGUGGAAGGAGAGAUCUGUAGCCAGAAGCAGAAAGCCACACAUGUGCCUUUAACCAUUUAGCUCAAUGACUUCAAAACCUGAUAUUUGAGCUCACCAACGUCCUCCUGGAUGAUCCCUGAGGAUUCGUGUGGACAAAGGUUUCUCUGUGGCCUCUGCUUGACUUGAGCAGCCUUUCUAUCAGCCUUUGCCAAGCGCUCAGGUGUGGGGCACUGACCUUGAGAUGCCCAGCAGUGCUGUGCUGAAAACAGUUCAGCUAAAUAAAUGGCAGGAAUGCUGAGAAGCAAGGUGCAGAGUUGCUGGGUUUGGAUCUUUGUGCAUUGCUGUCCAUCAGCAUUCUUGAUGCCUUUUUUGCAUCUCUAGGUGACACGGGCAACUUGCUUUGUGUUUCUGGGUCUCGCUUUUCUCCUUGGUAAAGGGCUUUUGGAGUGCUGUGACCUUGGUGGAGGUUUCCUGACCUGCAGGCCUUCCCAGCAGAAUCAAUAUUCCCUAUUCAUCCUUCAAAGAUGUCUCUUUACAGCGCGUUCAAACUUGGGGACCUGAGCAUAGACCUCCUUACCUUAUCUCUAUCCUUUGCUCCAUGCACUGUGAUUCGUGCACCUUAAUGAGACAAGUAGCAAUGUAAGAUGUCACCUGUAGCUCCGUGCACAUAAGAACAGGCAAAUCCAUGGACCUUCUGUAGACCUUACAAAGGUAUUUUCCCAAUGCACUGCGUUGAUUGGCAGAGAUCUGAGUAAUGACCUCCAAUGUAGAACAAAAGGGGCUUUGCAGGGAAGAGGUUCGCAGUGUCCUUUCUAUGCUCUGCACAAACCACGCCAUGGAGGUGCUCAGUCUGCUCCUACCGUGCAACAGUAGGCAAGGUGAUAGAGUGCACAACGUGGAUAAAACCCAUGAGAUCCUUCCUCCCCAUUGACCCCAGAGCCCAAAAUGAUUGCCUAGCUGUCCUAAGUGGGUAAGGAGAGUGAUUUUGUGACCUACAGACAGGGAUGUGGCCACACGGAGCUCAUCCAGCGGCGCUCACUGUGGCUCAACACCCAACGGGAGGAUUUUCAUCCCAGAGCUGAAUUCUGUUUUCUUCUGUUUCUCG
rnacentral:lncRNA from 1 species